CAACCAAACGAGCAAGAUGGGCCAAAUGGCCUCCUCUCGUUUGUAAACUUUGUUAUGUUCUAUGUUAUGUUAUGAUUUAAUCUACAGAUGGUGGGACCAAGUGCUGAAAAAUUGGUCCAUAGUCCCCAACAGUAUUCCCUUUUUAUAAUCGGAUCAUUCUGCUUUAUUUCCACAUGUAUCAAUCAACUGGUAAUCUUUGAGGGUUUUACAAGAUCACAUAUGAUUUCUGUUACUUUCACCUUUUUUUGUCCAACGUAAGGCAUAUGUUCCCCACUGCUUAAGCAGUAGGAACACAUGCUUGUAUUUUGUUUUUUUGGAGAAAUAUAAUUCUAAAUAACCCCAAGAGAAGAAAUGUUUUGUCGCUUGCCAUGCUGAGCCCCCUCCAGACUGACGUUCUGCACGAGAUAGAGAGGACCUCAGAGUUAUCAUUAUUUCAGCUGAAGGGCCUGUUUCUUCUUCUGGUCAUGAUGUGAAGGAGCUUACCUUCACACAAGGGUGGGAGCAUCACAUCAAGGUCAUGACCUGAUAUACCUGUGCCAGUUAUUGCCAAGGUAAAUGGCAUGGCCAUGGCUACCAGGUGCCAAAUUGUUGCCAGCUGUGAUAUUGCAGUGGCUUAUGAAAAAUCCAUGUUCACCGCCCCCCAGGAAUAAGCAUCGGACUGUUCUGUUCAACACCUGCUGUUGCAAUUGGCAGAGCAGUACUGAGAAAGUUGUAGGUAGCUUUGGAAAUGCUUUUUACUGGUGCACCAAUAUCUGCCCAAAAUGCCUUGCUCCAUGACCUGGUUAGCAAGGUGGUACCGGAGGAGAAGCUAGAAGAAGAGACCUUGAGGAUUGCGCAAAAGCUAUGUGACACAAGCAGGCCUGUAGUGUUGGCAAAGCUGUUUUACAGACAGAUGGCCCAGGCAUGCAACGCAGCUUACAGCAUGGACUUCCAGGCUAUGGUCAACAACUUGGCAUUGGAAGACCGACAAGAGGGGAUUAAGUCCUUUAUUGAGAAGCGCCAACCUUUGUGGACUCACACCACUGACAAAACACACAAAUAAUACAGAAAGCACAGGUUUUGUGUUUAGAUAAUAUCAUUAUAAGCACUUUAUUAUAAUUUUCAGGAUUUCCUGAAGUAAUUUUAAAGCACAUGCUGGUUUAAUGCAAUCAAAUUUGUGGUUGAUUUUUUUUUUUUUUUCUAAUCAAUUGUGUGCAGUGCAUUUGUUUUGGAAGAAUUAGAGAGACUUGUGUUUCACAAUGCUUCAGCUAAAUGAAAGGCAAGCCAACCUGCUACAUGUUUCAGAAGGGUUCAAACUGAAUUUAUUUUCUGUAAUUUUUAAUUGUGAAAAAAUAGCUGUUUGCUAUGUGGAUCAUUUGUACGUAUGUACCAAAGUUCUUUGUUCUACCAAAAAUGCGUUUCAUGGUUUUGAGUUUGUUAAAAAAAAAAAAAAAAAAAAAAAGAGUGCGAACUGAAAGAAUGCGGCAUCAGAAUCUUAGAUUUUUACUUUCCUUCUACUUUUAGCUGCUAGGAUGGCUUCCCUGGGAAGAUUAAAAGAGAGACAAACACCAUAUUAAAUCAAUUACCAUGACCAACCUUUUCACUGGUCCCCUUUUUAUUGUUUUAAAAUAUUUAGAUUCCUUAGCCCUUAACCACAUCCACAGGCAACCCAUUCUAAAGUAUCGUUAAAAAAAAACUAAUAAGCCAGUCCCUUUUCUCACCACAAGGUGGUGGUGGUGCUGCUCUAGUAAUUGAAGCCUAAUGCCAAUGCAGUACAUGAUUUGGUUUUAGUACAGUAUGUUCUGAAUACCUACACAAAUAUAAAUUAUACUAUCAUACUUCUAAGGUAGAAUGUGCAAUAAUUACAACAUACCCACAGGUAAGUUGUGCUUGAUCCAUGUCCACAAGCCUUCCUGCUGUCAGUAUUUAUUGCGUUUAUUGAAAUCCUAAUCUUAAAACUGUAUGGUCAUAGUUUGUACUGUGCAGUCCAGUGCAAUGGAUGGAAAUGUUUGUGGUGCGAGCUGUGUAUGCAGCAACAAGUAUAGGAAAGCAGAAGGGUCUCAUGGGUGUUCCUGGCAAGCUUCACAUGUACCACAGUGGCCCAAAUCACAGUGACUCAACACUGGACAACCACCUUGGUUUCCAUGCCGACAGUGCGCUGGGAUCUACUCAUUGUGCUGCGUUAUAGUCAUUCUCUGUAGUAUGAAAUGCAUUUGCCUAAUAUUGUGAUAAAGUUCCUAAAAUUGCAGUGUCCUACAAAUAAGUGAAAUGGAGCUUGAAAAUAAUACCAGGACACAUUUUGAGGACCCUAACCUGGGGAUCAUGUAAUAUGCAUGUCGUAGUACAGUAUGCCUCGGAUUCAGAAUUUACUUGUCAGAGAAGCAUAGGCUUAGAAUAAGCUAAUGUGGUCACCAGUCCACGAAAAAAAAAUGUACUAGAUAUUUCUGAAAAGGUUUUCCAAUAUUAAAUAUUUAUAUGCAAAUGUUGCGUUCAUGUGCUAAAAUGUGAGGUAUGAAUAUCAGACACACUUCUGAAUGAGAUGGUAUCACCUGUACAUUUGUGGCAUUGUAAAGCAAAUGAAGAUGUAAUAAAAUUGUCUUCACAGUCAGGUUUAGUUUAAAAAAGAAAGCUUCUAUCAAUAUUGGUUCAGAAAUGCAGCUGAUAAGGACAGUUAUAAAGAUGUUUGCUCUUGAUUAACUUGACUCCUGCCUUGUCGUGAAUGCAUUCAACUGUUUUAUGCAAUACAUUGUAUUUAUUAUCCCUCACACACAC